AACUCCAGGCGAUUGCGCGAAGGAGGCGAAAAGGGCGGAUUCCCUUUCCGGUUGCGCCCGGGCUGCAGGUCCUUAUCCCCGAGCUGGGGUUACUAGGUGAACACGGCCGGAGGGAGAGCGUUCUGAAAUCCAUUCUUCAGCCGCACGUGAAAAAUGGACAGCUGUGACUCUUAAGUGAAUUAAAGCAACAAAGCAUCUCAGCCUGCUCUAUGAGCUGGAUAUUUCGUAGGAAGGAGCCGAUUUGGCGAAAGUUACGUAAACAAUGGAAUUGUCUCAGUUUGCGCGUUUGUUUCGUUUGACAACCCUUCAGGGAGUCAUCCUGAUUGCUGGAGACGGUGAACUAACACUGUGGGGACCCUUGUGCGGAACGUGUCAACUGGCACAACAAGGAUAGGAACACGGGUCCUUUGGACUCCACAGCUUCUGCUCCUUCCAGAUUAAACCACACUGCUUUCUCCAA
rnacentral:antisense_RNA from 1 species